AAUUGCGAAAAAUCGAGCAAAUUACCUUAAUUAAAUUUGAGCAAAAUAACAAUUGAAAGUUAGGGUUUGUACUCAAUAAUAUGGAAUUUUGGCUCUAUUGUUGCUGAAGUUGCAUAUGCAAAAUCGAUUUCAAGCAAGGAACUGGUGACUUUAUUUAAACUGUUUGCAAGAGAAAAAGGAAGUGGACUUCCAUUAUGGACUUGUUCGAUCGUGUUAGGGAAAAUGAAGAUUUUGUCCCUAAAUUGAAUUACGCUGGCUUCAAAUUCCAUAUUAUUUAUUGGAUUAUUUUGUUAUAGUUCUUAGGCUUGAAAUGAACGCAUUUGAUUUACCAACAUUUGGUUUGGUUUGGUGCUUGUGUUAUACUUAUUAAUUAAUGAUGAAGAGGUCAAUAUUGUUUUGUUGUAAACUUAGCGCAUGUUGGACUCUUGUUUUGGAUUAUAGGCUUGAAAUGAAAUUUGGUUAAUUGGUGUUGGGAUGAUGAGUAUAAUGUCUAUGAUAUUGAGAUGUAAAUUAUUAGACAGGUUAUUAAUAUAAUGCCGUCAUUCCCAAUUUUAUGGGUAGGCCAAAUUACAAAGGAGACUCUGCCGAAAUUUACAUUUGCAUUAUUCAAUAAUAUUGCAUUUUAAUUUCAA